GGAUGUGAGGGCGAUCUGGCUGCGACAUCUGUCACCCCAUUGAUCGCCAGGGUUGAUUCGGCUGAGCUGGCAGCCUAGGCGGGUGUCCCCUUCCCUCCUCACAGCUCCAUGUGCAUCCGUCGCCAGGCUGUAUGCUCCGUCGAAGAGGAUGACCUUCCCCCACAGAGGACUGUUCUUCGGUCAAGGGUAUGUGAGUAGCUGCACUCCCCUGCUAGAACCUCCAAACAAGCUCUCAAGUAGGUUUUAUGCCAGAAAUGCACCAUUGGUUCAAUAUUAGAAAAAAAUUGUUACUUUAAUUU
rnacentral:snRNA from 1 species